GGCGAGAUGGCCGAGCGGUCUAAGGCGCUACGUUAAGGAGGUUCCUUAAUAUUAUCAUUCCUAAAUGAUUCCGUAGUCCGAAAGGGCGUGGGUUCGAAUCCCACUCUCGUCA
rnacentral:tRNA from 1 species